UGAAACCAAAGACCCUUUACGUGUGCAGCCUCAUUUGAAGAAAUGUUUCGAAAGCAUUGCCCAGUUGGUUUUCACCCCUGAGAAAGUUAUUGUAGCCAUGGAAUCAUCUGAAAAGGAAAGGGUGAAUUUCUGUACCAAUAUUGUCCCAUCUGAAGCACAUGGACUUGUUGAAAAAUGGCUUCA
rnacentral:lncRNA from 1 species